rnacentral:rRNA from 1 species
ACACUGACGUCGCGACGCAUAUCAAUAAGCGGAGGAAAAGAAACUAACAAGGAUUCCCUUAGUAACGGCGAGUGAAGCGGGAAGAGCUCAAAUUUGAAAUCUUCAAGGUUCUACCUUGACGAAUUGUAGUUUAUAGAAGUGUUUUCUGUUAGUAGAGUGGCAAAAGUUCUUUGGAAUAGGACAUCAUAGAGGGUGAGAAUCCCGUAUUUGGUCAUUCCUUCUAGCGUUGUGAUACACUUUCAACGAGUCGGAUUGUUUGGGAAUGCAGUCCAAAAUGGGUGGUAAAUUUCAUCUAAAGCUAAAUAUUGGCGAGAGACCGAUAGCGAACAAGUACCGUGAGGGAAAGAUGAAAAGAACUUUGAAAAGAGAGUUAAACAGUACGUGAAAUUGUCAAAAGGGAAGCGUUUGACACCAGUGUUGUUUUUUGAAAAUCAAUUAAAGAACUGUUUAUGCUAAGUUGUUUAGACUUUAUCAGCUACUGUUUAGUUCUGAGCUUUUCUUUAAUGCACUUUUCAGUUAACAAGUCUACAUCAAUUUCUUUUGCUGUAAAAAAGCUUGAGGAAGGUGGCUUGAGAUUCGUCUUAAGUGUUUAUAGCCUCUUGCCUAUGCAGUCAGGAGAGAUUGAGGUCCUGCAGCGUAGAUCCUUCGGGGCUAAAUGCAUUUGUGCUAAGUUAUAGCAUUUUAUAGACAACUUGUUGACUAUGAUUUGUCUUGUAGCUUACUCGCUUAUGUUAUUUUACCUACGCUUAGGAUGUUGAUGUGAUACUGCGAGCA